UACGAAGGGGGCUAGCGUUGCUCGGAAUCACUGGGCGUAAAGGGUGCGUAGGCGGGUCUUUAAGUCCGGGGUGAAAUCCUGGAGCUCAACUCCAGAACUGCCUUUGAUACUGAAGAUCUUGAGUUCGGGAGAGGUGAGUGGAACUGCGAGUGUAGAGGUGAAAUUCGUAGAUAUUCGCAAGAACACCAGUGGCGAAGGCGGCUCACUGGUCCGAUACUGACGCUGAGGCACGAAAGCGUGGGGAGCAAACAGG
rnacentral:rRNA from 1 species